ACGAACGCUGGCGGCGUGCUUCACACAUGCAAGUCGCACGGAAAGGCCCUGCUUGCAGGGUACUCGAGUGGCGAACGGGUGAGUAACACGUGGGUGAUCUGCCCUGCACUUCGGGAUAAGCUUGGGAAACUGGGUCUAAUACCGGAUAGGAGCCAUCUUUAGUGUGGUGGUUGGAAAGUUUUUUCGGUGUAGGAUGAGCUCGCGGCCUAUCAGCUUGUUGGUGGGGUAAUGGCCUACCAAGGCGGCGACGGGUAGCCGGCCUGAGAGGGUGUACGGCCACAUUGGGACUGAGAUACGGCCCAGACUCCUACGGGAGGCAGCAGUGGGGAAUAUUGCACAAUGGGCGCAAGCCUGAUGCAGCGACGCCGCGUGGGGGAUGAAGGCCUUCGGGUUGUAAACUCCUUUCGCUAGGGACGAAGCUUUUUUGUGACGGUACCUAGAUAAGAAGCACCGGCUAACUACGUG
rnacentral:rRNA from 1 species